GCCAAUAUUCACACAUUAUGGUGGCACCAGGUCCCAUUUGAUUUUGGAAACUAAGCAGUGUCAGCUCUGGUUUGUACUUAGAUGGGAGGCCAUCAACAAAUACCAGGCACUGUAGGUU
rnacentral:rRNA from 1 species